UGGGGAAUAUUGCACAAUGGAGGGAACUCUGAUGCAGCGACGCCGCGUGAGUGAUGAAGGACUUCGUUUCGUAAAACUCUGUUCUAUGGGAAGAAAAGGACUGUACCAUAGGAGAAAGCUCCGGCUAAAUACGUGCCAGCAGCCGCGGUAAUACGUAUGGAGCGAGCGUUGUCCGGAAUUAUUGGGCGUAAAGGGUGCGCAGGCGGCUUUACAAGUUGGAUGUGAAAUAUUGUGGCUCAACCACAAACGUGCAUCCAAAACUGCAAAGCUUGAGUUAAGGAGAGGUAAGUGGAAUUCCUGGUGUAGCGGUGGAAUGCGUGGAUAUCAGGAGGAAUACCGGUGGCGAAGGCGACUUACUGGACUUAAACUGACGCUCAGGCACGAAAGCGUGGGGAGCAAACAGG
rnacentral:rRNA from 1 species